UGCCGCGUGCAGGAUGACGGUCCUAUGGAUUGUAAACUGCUUUAGAGGGAAGAAACAACAUUACGUGUAAUGUCUUGACGGUACUGUGAGAAUAAGGAUCGGCUAACUCCGUGCCAGCAGCCGCGGUAAUACGGAGGAUCCAAGCGUUAUCCGGAAUCAUUGGGUUUAAAGGGUCCGUAGGCGGUCUUAUAAGUCAGUGGUGAAAUCUCCCCGCUCAACGGGGAAACGGCCAUUGAUACUGUAGGACUUGAAUUAUUAGGAAGUAACUAGAAUAUGUAGUGUAGCGGUGAAAUGCUUAGAGAUUACAUGGAAUACCAAUUGCGAAGGCAGGUUACUACUAAUGGAUUGACGCUGAUGGACGAAAGCGUGGGUAGCGAACAGGAUUAGAUACCCUGGUAGUCCACGCCGUAAACGAUGGAUACUAGCUGUUGGGUGCAAACUCAGUGGCUAAGCGAAAGUGAUAAGUAUCCCACCUGGGGAGUACGUUCGCAAGAAUGAAACUCAAAGGAAUUGACGGGGGCCCGCACAAGCGGUGGAGCAUGUGGUUUAAUUCGAUGAUACGCGAGGAACCUUACCAAGGCUUAAAUGUAGAUUGACCGGUUUGGAAACAGACUU
rnacentral:rRNA from 1 species